AUGAACGCUAGCUACAGGCUUAACACAUGCAAGUCGAGGGGCAGCAUGGUCUUAGCUUGCUAAGGCCGAUGGCGACCGGCGCACGGGUGAGUAACACGUAUCCAACCUGCCGUCUACUCUUGGACAGCCUUCUGAAAGGAAGAUUAAUACAAGAUGGCAUCAUGAGUCCGCAUGUUCACAUGAUUAAAGGUAUUCCGGUAGACGAUGGGGAUGCGUUCCAUUAGAUAGUAGGCGGGGUAACGGCCCACCUAGUCUUCGAUGGAUAGGGGUUCUGAGAGGAAGGUCCCCCACAUUGGAACUGAGACACGGUCCAAACUCCUACGGGAGGCAGCAGUGAGGAAUAUUGGUCAAUGGGCGAGAGCCUGAACCAGCCAAGUAGCGUGAAGGAUGACUGCCCUAUGGGUUGUAAACUUCUUUUAUAAAGGAAUAAAGUCGGGUAUGGAUACCCGUUUGCAUGUACUUUAUGAAUAAGGAUCGGCUAACUCCGUGCCAGCAGCCGCGGUAAUACGGAGGAUCCGAGCGUUAUCCGGAUUUAUUGGGUUUAAAGGGAGCGUAGAUGGAUGUUUAAGUCAGUUGUGAAAGUUUGCGGCUCAACCGUAAAAUUGCAUUUUUUACUGGAUAUCUUGAGUGCAGUUGAGGCAGGCGGAAUUCGUGGUGUAGCGGUGAAAUGCUUAGAUAUCACGAAGAACUCCGAUUGCGAAGGCAGCCUGCUAAGCUGCAACUGACAUUGAGGCUCGAAAGUGUGGGUAUCAAACAGGAUUAGAUACCCUGGUAGUCCACACGGUAAACGAUGAAUACUCGCUGUUUGCGAUAUACUGCAAGCGGCCAAGCGAAAGCGUUAAGUAUUCCACCUGGGGAGUACGCCGGCAACGGUGAAACUCAAAGGAAUUGACGGGGGCCCGCACAAGCGGUGGAGCAUGUGGUUUAAUUCGAAGCAACGCGAAGAACCUUACCAGGUCUUGACAUCCCGAUGACCGGCCCGUAACGGGGCCUUCUCUUCGGAGCAUUGGAGACAGGUGGUGCAUGGUUGUCGUCAGCUCGUGUCGUGAGAUGUUGGGUUAAGUCCCGCAACGAGCGCAACCCUUGUUGUCAGUUACUAACAGGUUCCGCUGAGGACUCUGACAAGACUGCCAUCGUAAGAUGUGAGGAAGGUGGGGAUGACGUCAAAUCAGCACGGCCCUUACGUCCGGGGCUACACACGUGUUACAAUGGGGGGUACAGAGGGCCGCUACCACGCGAGUGGAUGCCAAUCCCCAAAACCUCUCUCAGUUCGGACUGGAGUCUGCAACCCGACUCCACGAAGCUGGAUUCGCUAGUAAUCGCGCAUCAGCCACGGCGCGGUGAAUACGUUCCCGGGCCUUGUACACACCGCCCGUCACACCACGAGAGUUUGUAACACCCGAAGUCGGUGAGGUAACCUUUUUGGAGCCAGCCGCCUAAGGUGGGAUAGAUGAUUGGGGUG
rnacentral:rRNA from 1 species